GAUGAAGAACGCAGCGAAAUGCGAUAAGUAAUGUGAAUUGCAGAAUUCAGUGAAUCAUCGAAUCUUUGAACGCACAUUGCGCCCGCCAGUAUUCUGGCGGGCAUGCCUGUUCGAGCGUCAUUUCAACCAUCAAGCCCCCGGCUUGUGUUGGGGACCUGCGGCUGCCGCAGGCCCUGAAAAGCAGUGGCGGGCUCGCUGUCACACCGAGCGUAGUAGCAUACAUCUCGCUCUGGGCGUGCUGCGGGUUCCGGCCGUUAAACCACCUUCAGAACCCAAGGUUGACCUCGGAUCAGGUAGGAAGACCCGCUGAACUUAAGCAUAGCAAUAAGCGGAGGA
rnacentral:misc_RNA from 1 species